UACGUAGGGUGCAAGCGUUGUCCGGAAUUAUUGGGCGUAAAGAGCUCGUAGGUGGCCAACUAAGUCAUACGUGAAAUCCCUCAGCUUAACUGGGGAACUGCGUCUGAUACUGGAUGGCUUGAGUUUGGGAGAGGGAUGCGGAAUUCCAGGUGUAGCGGUGAAAUGCGUAGAUAUCUGGAGGAACACCGGUGGCGAAGGCGAAUCCCUGGAAAAUACCUGACACUGAGGCACGAAAGCUAGGGGAGCAAACAGG
rnacentral:rRNA from 1 species